UCUCCGUUGGUGAACCAGCGGAGGGAUCAUUACAGAGUUGCAAAACUCCCAAACCAUUGUGAACGUUACCUAUCCCGUUGCUUCGGCGGGCGGCCCGGGCCCCGCGCCCGGCGCCCCCCGGCCCCCCGUGGGCGCCCGCCGGAGGUAAACCAAGCCCUUGAAUUGCAUGGCCUCUCUGAGUCUUCUGUACUGAAUGAGUCAAAACUUUCAACAACGGAUCUCUUGGUUCUG
rnacentral:misc_RNA from 1 species